rnacentral:misc_RNA from 1 species
ACACCUCAACUCUCAUGGUCUUCCAUGAUGAGCUUGGACUUUGGGGGUUUGCUGGCCCUGCGGCCGGCUCCUCUCAAAUGAAUCAGCUUGCCAGUGUUUGGUGGCAUCACGGGUGUGAUAACUAUCUACGCUCGCGGUCGUCUGCCAGGUAACCCUCAGCAAUGAAGGUUCAUUGGAGCUCAUAAACGUCUCUCCUCGGCGAGGACAACUUUUGAAC